rnacentral:rRNA from 1 species
GGGCUUGACAUCCCACGAACCUUCCCGAAAGGGUUGGGUGCCCGCAAGGGAGCGUGGAGACAGGUGGUGCAUGGCUGUCGUCAGCUCGUGUCGUGAGAUGUUGGGUUAAGUCCCGCAACGAGCGCAACCCUCACCCCUUGUUGCCACCGGGUUAUGCCGAGCACUCUAGGGGAACUGCCAGCGUCAAGCUGGAGGAAGGCGGGGAUGACGUCAAGUCAUCAUGCCCCUUACGCCCUGGGCGACACACGUGCUACAAUGGCCGGUACAAAGGGAUGCAAUACCGCGAGGUGGAGCUAAUCCCAGAAAACCGGUCUAAGUUCAGAUUGCAGUCUGCAACUCGACUGCAUGAAGGAGGAAUCGCUAGCAAUCGCGCAUCAGAACGGCGCGGUGAAUACGUUCCCGGGCCUUGUACACACCGCCCGUCACACCACGAAAGCCGGCUGUACUCGAAGUCGCUGAGA